GAGAUCAGAGGAAUGCUUCUAGAAACUGAAAAACAUAAAGAUUAAUAGCAAACCACCAGAAGUUAAUGAAGAGGCAUGAAGAGAUUCUUUCUCACAGAGAAGGAACCAACUCCGCUGACCCCUCCAUCUUGGACUUCUAGCCUCCAAAAUUGUGAUACACCAUUCCUCUCUUCUGAGCUCCUCUCUGGCCAACUUUAACUCAUCGAUUGGUUCUGCCACCCGCAACGUUGGCUCCAAAGGCCUGUAGCGUUGUUCUAAUACUUCGGUGAUAUCUCGGAAGGGCCCCUGACAAGACAGGAUGAGGAACAUAUUUUAUAUGGAAGAUUUUUUUGAGGUUAUCACUAACAAGACACAGCUGGAGUUACUGCAAGCACUGAGUGAAGACUGUGGGGCUAAUAAAAAGAAAUGAUUCACGCCUCA
ensembl:lncRNA SPATA17-AS1 SPATA17 antisense RNA 1